UCAGAGCUGAAGUUCACGAAAGUGAGUCUACAGCCGAUUCAGACCGGUACCGGUUAACUGCAGACCACAGCCUCAGUUCAGUGCAGUGAAGAGGAAAUGGAAGUUUAUUCCAAUGUCGCAAUCUGCAUUAAAAACACAGGCACAGUCAGAAACUCUGGAAGGCCCUACGCAUUGCAAGCCUUUGCUGCAAAGGCCAGAUUUCAUUCUGAGCGGCGAUUGGUUCGUUGCUGUCACGUGUACUGAGACGCAGCGAAAAACUUUAUUUUGCAUGCCAUGCAUACAGACCAUUUCAAAACAUCAGUAUGUUCAGACAGCACGAAGGAAAGGCAAUAACAGAAAGUUACAGAAGGCUCAGAUUUCAGCAGGUAGCCCAGAAGGAAGUCACAAGAGAAAAGCCUUUUUGAAUGAACCUGCGGCUCUGACUACUCUCGGGUGGAGAUGGGUAACCUUGGCUAACCAAUUACCUAAUGCAACCCUGAGCAAAAGGAGAGAGCGUCUUCACCGUGUGUUGACCACCAUUAACCCCUCAACCUUUUGGUUACCACACCGCUGUUUGAGGGAUCUCAAUGUGCCUGGACUGGUCACAAUGCCCUGUUGAGAAGAUGAAUCUGAUCGUGUGGAGUCACAGGCUUUUCCCCCAGGGCUGAAAUGGCUAACACGAGAUGGUGCAGUUUUAAGGUGCUUGGAGAUUUCCAGCACCUGCAGUCCCUCAGGUCUCCAUGAAGGUGCCAGUGAAGCUGGAUGGAUCUGCACUUCCAGUCACCCUCUCCAGAAUUUCUCCGCAGCACUGUGAGCAUCUCCAACACAAAAGACGGGAGCAGUGGUUCAAGACGGCCUCCGGUUCACCAGCGGACUUGGCACGGCUCGUGAAUGAACAGUGAACAAUUUCUUUUAAUUUUAAAAAGACAUGCACAUAAUUAGACCCUUUGAAUGCGAUUACUGUUUAGAAUGGUGGGCACGUCCUAGUCACAACCUUCUGGUGAAUUGUCAGAGGGGACACAUACCAGGUCAAAUUCCAGCAAGCCCACCACAGAACCUACGUAUAAAAUGGAGCUCAACAACAGAAUGAUUGAAAAGGAGAUGUUUGUUCAACAGGUUUGCUGCUCUGCUACUUACUUAGCAAAGGCAGCGCUGCCCAGCAGGAACAUCUCUCGCUGCUGAGUUCAAAUCAAUUCUUUUCAAAAUCAGAUAAUGCAGGAAGAACAAUUCCAGACUGUUGAGUAAUAUUGACAUUGUUGCCGAUGAAAGGUUCUUAAUUCUUCUACAUCCUCAGGAAGUUUAGAUGGCGCAGUAAGUGGAAGUCACUGUUGUAAUGCAGGAAGCUCAGCAACCAAUUUGUGCACAGCAAGCUCCCACAAAGAGUAGAAUCAGGAUCGGGUGUAUUGUCACUGACACAGUCAUGAAAUUUGUUUCUAUGGCAGCAGUAAGUGCUGGCGUAUCAAAUGACAAGUUACAAACUUUUUAAAGAGCAGUGCAAAAGAGGAACAGUGAACAAUGUUAUAAUUACCAGAUAUAUAUCGAUGUGCUCAUUACUGACCCAGCCAUACUAUUAGAACCUCCCCCCCCCCCAUUCCCUGUAGCCCUGCAAUUUAUUCACUCUCUCAUGCCCCAACAACUCUUUUGCCAUUUACUGGGGGCAACUUUCAGCAGCCAGUUAACCCGCCAACCUCUGGGCAGAAACAGGAGUGACCGGGAAAAGCCAACAGUUACAGGGAGAUCGUACAAACUCCUCACAGACAGCGCCCGAGAUCAGGAUUGAACUAGGUUCAUCAGCGAUGCUGAGCUGCUGCUCUAAUCACGGCACCUCCAUGUUGCCCCCAUUGUUUACGGAGUGAGUACUAGUCAGAAUGCUGAUGACUAAGAUCGACGCAGCUUUGGAGAUAGAAGGAAUUAGGGAACGCGGGGAUCAUGCUCUCAGAAAUGGACCAGGGCACAGAAUAGCUAUGAUCCCAUUUUAUCACAGUACAGUCUAAAAGGACUGAAUGGCCUUCUUCCCUUUUCAUAUUUAUAACUCUGCCAGCUAACUGACUGCACUGGGAUCCCAAACAGCUCCUCUGACAGACGGUACCCUCUCAAUCUGCACUGAAAUAUCUGGAAAGGUUGAGUGAGGCUCCAGUGCGAUCCCAUGUGCAAUAUUUCCGGGCAUAGUCAAUGACCAGAUUUGUCAAACAACAAAACCCUGAGCCAAUACAAAUUAAAUUUGGGCGUGGAGAACAAAUAACGAAUUCCUCUAAAAGACAAGAGCAGUUGGAACCAGCUACGGUUAGAUUUUUGAAAGCAUUGCAUGAUCAAAGUUACUGUGCAGCCAACAGGAGAACUCUGCCUGUUCUCCUGCUCCAUCUGCUUCCCAAUGUGUUCUGCACUCUGCAGCUUGCUGACUGAAAAUCCAUCAGCCAAAGUCCAGUAAUCUUCAAGGUGUCAGCUCAGAACCACGUGCGUCUAUGUGGGUGGUGCUGUAAGGGGCCUCACUCCCCCCACAGGGGCAGAGAUGGUCGUAUGUGCAUAUCAAGCUCAUUCAUCAGACGUCUGUCACGUCACGACUAUUUCCCCCCUCCCUCCCCCCAAAGAAUGUCUUCUGCAGAGGCUUAAUUGGAUUAAUAACCCCAGUUCUGAUGAAAGAUCCUGGUCCUGAAAUGUUAACUGCUUCUCCCUUCACAGAUACUGCCUGACCAGGCUGAACUUUUGCGUCUUCCACUGCAUUUGCAACCAAACUGGUUUUGCCCUCAACCUCAUCUCAUUAGGUACGAACCACCGCUCCAGGUAAAUUGAAGCCCUGUUAAAGUGCCCUCCCACGUCCGAUGGAGCCACCAACAUUCCGGAAGUUCAUCAACAUUCACAUCCAAACCACACAAGUAAUUAUAAUUCACAGUUCUGCACACCAUCAUGGCAAAUAAAGGGAGCUUAGCAGUUAGCACAAUGCUCUAGCGUACUGGGGUUCAAUUCCCGUUGCUCUCUGUAUGGUGUCUGUGCGCUCUCCCUCUGAUUGCGUGGAUUUUCUCCAGGCGCUCCAGCUUCCUCCCGCUCGGUAGGUUACUGGCUCGUUGCAGGAUUAAAUCGGCCGAUUGCUGGGUGACGUGGCUUGAAAGGCCGGUAGAAACUAUUCUGCGCUGCAAGUCAAUUAAAAAAAGGUUCCAAAGACAAGAUCCAAAUGGUGACCUUAGGUUGUUAAAGAUAACGGGCUGCCAUGCAAAGAGCACUCAACUGAAUUCCAACAACAGACACUUCACUGUCACUCAGAUAUCGCAGCCAAGCGAGAAGGAAGGACAACUACUGGGACAGUAUUGACACUGGAUCCCUUCGAUGCUUCGACUGACACCAACAAUGAGUAAUUCCACCUCAGCAAUGGAACACCACAGGCCACCUUCUUGCCCCACCAUGGACUUUUCACUGAAUGCAUUUUUUUUGCACCAAUGUCUAGCCUUUUUUUUCUUCACCAUCUUAUAUAAUUUAUGUGUAAGAUGUUCUGCAUGUUGUGUCUGAGCCUAUAAGCCUGUGACGCGGCAGCAAUUAUAUCUGCACCUUACUGUACGUGUGUACGACAAUAAACUCGACUUGAUGAAUGCUGUGAGGCAAAAUCGCUAGGAAAGGUUGGUAACCCCUGCUCUAGUCAGUAAGUGGAGAAUACCAGUCAGCCCACGCUUCUGUCUCUCCUUCUUGAAACAGUCAGAGGGUGAAAGCAGCACAACUACAGAGUGCUGGCCCAUUACCAGGAAAUACUCAGCUUCAACCUCUGGGUUAGACCACCAGGAUUGGGUUCGUCAUCACUGACAGACGAUGUGAAGUGUGGUGUUUCUCCACAGUAGGACAGAACAAGACAGAAAAAAUAUACACACAUUACAAAAAUAAAUAAAUAUACAAGAAGGAGGAAUAAUGAGGUAGUGUUUAUGGGUUCAUGGACCAUUCAGAGGCCUGAUGGUGUAGGAAAAACCAUUGAGUGUGUUCUUCAUGUUCCUGUACCCCCUCCCCAAUGGUAGUAAUAAGAAGAGGGCAUGUCCUGGGUGGCGAGGGUCUUCACCGAUGGAUGCUAGCUUCUUGAGACUCCACUUCAUGAAGGUGUUCUCACUAGAGAGGUAGGUUGUGCCCGUGAUAACCCUCUGUCGUCUCUCAUAGUUCUGUGUGUUCAAGGCUCUGUACCAGACUGGAAUGUAACCAGUCAGGGUGCUCUCCACAGUCCAUCUGUUGAAAUUUCCGAGUCUUUGGUGACAAACUGAAUCUCCUCACACCUCGAAUGACGUAGAGUUGCUGCCGUACUCUCUUCGGGUUUGCAAUGUGCCGAGACAGCAGGAGGGCACAACAAUCACCACUCCCAAUCUCAACAAUGGUUGAGAACCCAACAGCAAGGCUGCCUGCUGCCAAUCCGCCAUCUCUACAGUUGCCACCUGCGAAGCUCCAGCCGGGACUGAGGUGGCUUUGUGGUUGCAUACCUUUCCGGAGAAAGAGCAAAGACCUGGAUUUCUGCAGUGCCGGCACAUUCCAAAGCACCUCACUGAUUUUGCAAGUGCGGCCUGUUUCAAUGCAGGGAGCCCGGCAACCUGUGCACAGCGAGAUCCCACAAGCAGCAAUACAAGGCGAACCAGGGCGACAAGUUGCUGCUGCUGGAGGGGAAAAUAUUAGCAUCGUGGGACAACCUAUUAUUUAUCAAAAAAAAGUAGCCGGGGAUCUUCCAUGUUAACCAUGGGCAGAGCCUCAGGUUAACUUGGACACACAAGACACGACAUGAAAUGUCAACUGCCCACUUCUCUCCACAGGCCAAGUUCCUCCAGCAUCUUGUGUGCUGCCUCAGCCGAAACUUCUCAACCAAACGAUAUCCACAUUAGUCCUGGAAGCUUCCUGUGCAAAACAUCACGGGGGCUCAACAGCGUGGCUCGAUGCUGGACCUUUCAAAAUGGGGCUGUGGCACGAGGCAAACCAUUGUUUCAUUAACUUGCAGGGGUUCAUGAGAUUGCGAAGCUAAACAUUUUUGAAGCUUCAUUCACAUUUCCGCAGCUUUGCCCUUUUCUGAAGGAAGCAUUCCAAAGUAAUCAACAAAAAUCAGCCCUGGAACUGGCUAACGGUCAGCAGUGAGAUUGCAGCUGUUCUCCUGCACUGAAGGAAAUCUCAGGUGGAUGGGGGGGAGAGGGGAGGGUGGAACUGCCAGAAAUGUAGUCAUUGUUCCUCCCCCAGCGACUCUGGUCCAAAACCUCAGUACGAGCAGAAGUGUGUAAUGAUUUUUGGCACAUUGAUGGACUCCACCAACUGCAGCUUUCAUAACUUGCAAUUGUAUCAAAAGCCCGAGUUUCUCCCCACGCUGAUUUGGCACAUUGGGCAACAAUCUUGCCUUUUUUUUAUCAUUGCCGAGUUGCUAGCUCGACGCUCAACCCAGCAUGAGUAGAAUUCGCACAAGGAGACGGCCAGAUUCAAACCCAGGACCUCCCACUCCGAAGCCUGGUGCAGAUACCACCCCACCACUGGUACGGGCUAGCAACAGCCUGAAGCUUUUCCUUGAGACUCCUUCCAACGUCCGAGUAAAGAAGGCCCACUUAGACACAGCCCAGAACUAUCUGCAAACACGAAGGAAAUCUGCAGAUGCUGGAAAUUUAAGCAACACACACAAAAUGCUGAUCUCUUCUUUUAGUCCUGACGAAGGGUCUCGGCUCGAAACACCGACUGUACUUCUUCCUAUAGAUGCUUCCUGGCCUGCUGCGUUCCACCAGCAUUUUGUGUGUAUUGCCCAAACUAUCUGCUGCUGGUUACGGUACAUUCAAAGUGUUGCCUGUGAGGGCAACAUGAGAGGGGGAGGGAGAGAGGGGCAGGGAGAGAGGGAGGGAGAGAGAGAGGGAGAAAAAGAAAGAGGGAGAAAGAGAGAGAGAUGAGGAGAGGGAGAUAGAUGGGGGAGAUGGGAAAGAGGGUAGGUAGAGAGAGAUGGGAGAUCAUGAAAGAGUGAUGGCUCAAGAAGGUGAGAAUCCAUUAUUAAGGGCACUCAUCAUCCAGGGCAUGUUCGCUUCUCAUUCCUCCCAUCAGGGAGGAGGUACAGAGGCCAGUAGACACACACUCAAUGUUUUAGGGGCAGCUUCUUCCCCUCCACUAUCAGAUUUCUGAAUGGUCCAUGAACUGAUGAAUAUAUCCUCACUAUUCUGCUCUCUUAUUGCACCAAUAAUUUUACUUUUAUAUUUAUGUAAUAUAUAGUAAUGUUUUAUGCCUCACAUACUGCUGCUGCAAAACAACAUUUCACAACACGUCAUUGGUAAUAAGCCUCAUUCUGAGCCUACGAGGUCCUCAGAUAUCAUCACCGUGGUAACACAUUUGAACACAGCAAGGCCUCCACAAACUCGAGUACUAAUAGCACGUGGACUUUAGACAGUAUUGUGCUGAAUGGGGGAUAAUAUUGACCAAGCCACAGAGGCAGCAAGAUUCCUACACUUUUUUUUGAAGCAACAACUUGGAGAUCUUUGAGCUGGAGGGUAGCAGGGACAAAAGGAUAUGGACAGUGGAAGCCAAAGUAAAAUCAGAAAAUGCUGGAAAAGCUCAGUGGGCCAGGCAGCAAGAGAGUUAGUGCUUCAAGCUGACAACCUCUUCUAACAACCAGAAGGAUGACACGAUCAGCAGGACUGAUUUACUUACUGCCUCAAAUUCACUGCAAUCCUAAAAGGAUAUGAAUACACCCCACGUUCUUAUUCUGACGUCAGCCCCCUUCCAUUCCAGUCCUGAUGAAGGCUCUCGGCCCAAAACGGCCACUGUUAUUUCAUCUCCGUAGAUGCUGCCCGACUUGCUGAGUUCCAAGAGCAUCUGGCAUGUACUGAGUAUUUUCAGCAUUCUCUUUUAAUUCAAAUGCCCAGCAAUUGCUGUAUUUUGCCUCUCUCAACAGCAGUAUUGUCUGUCUCAUCGAUCCUCAAAUCUUGCCGUUCCAUUUCCAUUUGCUCCUGAUAGAGCAGCCACGAUUAGCAAGCAUUCGGCAUCCUCUCUGAGACGGCUGAAAGCAUUCGAGUUGCCUGAACACUUUAUCCAUCACACCCACCCCCCCUUGUCUCCACCUCUCAGCCCUCUCUGGAACUCGAUACACAUUCAGUUUCUCUCUUCUCCAAUUCUGAUGAAGGGUUAUCAAACUGAUACGUCGACCCUGUUUCCCUCUCCACAGAUACUGCCAGUUCUGCUAAGUACCUCCUCUACCUUCUCCUCUUAUUUCAGUCUUCCAGCCAGAUUUCCUUCCCUGAAGAACAUUUGUGAACCAAACACAGUGGUUUGCAGUUACUACUACUGUUUUGUUUUAAAUUCCAUAGAAAAAUGAAUCAUUUGAACUUAAGGUCCACGUCUGCCAUGGCGGGAUUUCAACUUGCGCCUCUGGGUCAAUGGUCCAGCCCUCUGGCUGCUCGUCAAGUGACCACACCACUAAAUUACUUUGGAAUCACAUUGUACAGGAUGAUAAAGACAUCCGUGGCAUGUAAAAGAGUUCACCAAUUAAAAUUCACAUUUGGAAAGUUUGGUUCUUAUUCAUUUUAAAACAACACCAGACAAUCUUAACAAUAAAUGAAAAGUAAAUUCAUCCAGCCACCGUAACUAAAGUAGAUUUAUUUCUUUGGAGAAAAGCUGACGGUGCAAGGUGACAUGAGAAGUAACGCUAGCAUAACAUUUUACAGUGCCAGUGAUAGGCGUUCAAUUCCCACUGCUGUCAGUAUGUUCUCCCUGUGACUGUGUAGGAUUCCUCCAGAUCCAGUUUCCUCCAAAGACAAACAGUAUUAUUAUCGUUGGCAUGGUGACACUUACAGGCUGCCCUCAGCCCAUAUUCAAAUGGUGUUGGUCAUUCAUUAAAACACUGUACGUUUCACUGUUUUGAUGUGCAUUUGACAAACAAAACUAAUCUGUAAAAUCUUUGAAAGACUUACCCUGCCCAAUAAUCACUGCUUACCAACAGCGUUGUGUCCCCAUUGAGAGCUCAAACACUGGAGAAGGGAUCACAUCAAGUGCCCUGGUCUAUCACAAUCCAAAUGAAUUUGCUGAAAAGUGCACACAACAUGCUAUAGGUUUACAGACCAUUUAUAGAGCAUAAACCAUUCCAAACAAUAACAGCAAGUCACUGAAUUCUCCAACUUCUCCCCUCCCUCUGUCCCAUCAUUUUUGGUUUGUUGAAAUACAACAUGGAACAGGCCCAUUGAGCCACACUGUCCAACAACCCCCGAUUUAACUCGGCCUCAUAAAAAAAGCAGUCAAAUGCUACAGAUAUGGCAAAAAUCGCGACAAAUGCGCCAGAAGGCGUGAAAAGAAACAAUAACAACAACAAAGGUUACAGGGAGAAGGCAACAGAAUAGGGGGAGGUUGAAAGGGAAAAUAAAUCAGGCAUGAUCAAAUAAAUGGUGGAACUGAUUCGAUGGGCCAAAUGACCUAAUAUUGUUCCUAUGUCUUACACCUCCUGACUGAGGCCACAGUGUGAGUGUGAGGCAUUAUUGGGAUGUCAACUUAGAUACAGAAGACCGCACAAUAAAAUAAAUUAUGUACUUGCUGUAUGUCCCUUUGCGAAUUUACUUCACAGGUUAGAGGUAUGAUUCAUUUUGACAUGCAAAAAUGAAAGAUAUAAUCCAGGCAAAUACCAACGUGACCAGUACUGAGAUGAAGAGAAAGACAACAGGUCAAUAAGCAGGGCCUCAUUGCUCUCUACUGCAGACAGUUUGCUUUCCCAAAGGACUGUCUGCUUGAGGAUAAUCCAUUUCACCUCCCCCUCAUAGGCCCGCAGUUCAAAUUCAUUAUUCACAGUUCAACAGGUCCAUCUCUCGGUUGACAUGCUCUAUCAGACCUCUCUUCAAUAUUAAUUUUAUCACUCCACUUGUUGACAUUGUCUGUCCAUGUGUGUGCAGAUCCAGUCCUUAAGAAUGGAAGAUGAAGGGGAGAGUUUUGCUCCAGAUAUUAAUUGUUAAUCGGGGAGUUAGUGAGGGGAGAGAGUCCAGAACUAAUUGUCGAUCCUUGAAAUUCAUUCAGUGGUGACAUUAAAGAAUUUUAUUGCACACACAGGACAGCACGAUUCUGGAAGUCUUGCCCCAGAAAGACUGUUAGGGACCGGUGGGAAUCAAAUAAAACUUUCAAUCCUGAGAUUGACAGAUUUUUGUAGGACAUAGAAUAUUAAUGUAACCUGUGUUAGAUGGAAUUAGGAUACACAUCAACAAGCACAGCUUUAAGGGGCUGAAUGACCUGUUAAUCCAAGGUCAUCAAUUAUCUUGUCAUUUGACAUUCUCAUGCCCAUUUUCUCAUCUUUUAUGGGCCUCAAUGACCAAUACCAACAAUUUCAGGGUAAACUGUACCCCAUU